GGCGUAGGGCGCGAGCGUUUGUCCGGAUUUACUGGGCGUAAAGCGCGCGUAGGCGGCUUUGCAAGUCGGGUGUGAAAUCCCCAGGCUUAACCUGGGAACUGCAUUCGAGACUGCAUUGCUAGAGUAUGGGAGAGGGAAGUGGAAUUUCCGGUGUAGCGGUGAAAUGCGUAGAUAUCGGAAGGAACAUCAGUGGCGAAAGCGACUUCCUGGACCAAUACUGACGCUCAUGUGCGAAAGCGUGGGGAGCAAACAGG
rnacentral:rRNA from 1 species